rnacentral:rRNA from 1 species
GCUUAGCCCUAAACAUCGAUUGCACUAUACACUCCAUAUCCGCCCGGGAAUUAUGAACGUCAGUUUAAAACCCAAAGGACUUGGCGGUGCUUAACAUCCACCUAGAGGAGCCUGUUCUAGAACCGAUAACCCCCGUUAAACCUCACCCUCUCUUGUUUUAUCCGCCUAUAUACCACCGUCGUCAGCUUACCCUGUGAAGGCUUUACAGUAAGCAAAAUUGGCACAGCCCAAAACGUCAGGUCGAGGUGUAGUGAAUGAGGGGGGAAGAAAUGGGCUACAUUUGCUAAACAUAGCAAACACGAAUGUUGCAUUGAAACAUGCAACUGAAGGAGGAUUUAGCAGUAAGCAGGAAAUAGAGCGUCCCGCUGAAACUGGCCCUAAAGCGCGC